UGCAUAUCAAAAAGCGGAGGAAAAGAAACCAACAGGGAUUGCCUCAGUAACGGCGAGUGAAGCGGCAAAAGCUCAAAUUUGAAAUCCCCCGGGAAUUGUAAUUUGAAGGUGGAGUCAACAAAAGAGUGGCCCUAAAGUCCAUUGGAAAAUGGCGCCAAAGAGGGUGAUAGCCCCGUUAUGGCCCCACUCUAUAUACUUUUCUCCUCCCAAGAGUCGAGUUGUUUGGGAAUGCAGCUCUAAGUGGGUGGUAAAUUCCAUCUAAAGCUAAAUAUUGGCGAGAGACCGAUAGCGAACAAGUACAGUGAUGGAAAGAUGAAAAGCACUUUGAAAAGAGAGUGAAAAAGUACGUGAAAUUGUUGAAAGGGAAGGGUUUGUGCUUUGGGUCAGCGUCGGGAAAAGGAGGGAGAAAAGGAGGGGGGAAUGUACCUUUUAAGUGUUAUAUCCCUCUUUAACAUCCCUAUCUCUUCCCGAGGCCUGCGUAUCUAGGACGCUGACAUAACAAGUACAAAUCGCCCGUCUUGAAACACGGACCA
rnacentral:rRNA from 1 species